UACGGGGGGGGCAAGCGUUGUUCGGAAUUACUGGGCGUAAAGGGCUCGUAGGCGGCCAACUAAGUCAGACGUGAAAUCCCCAGGCUCAACCUGGGAACUGCGUCUGAUACUGGAUGGCUUGAAUCCGGGAGAGGGAUGCAGAAUUCCAGGUGUAGCGGUGAAAUGCGCAGAUAUCAGGAGGAACACCGGUGGCGAAGGCGGCUCACUGGCUCGUUUCUGACGCUGAGGCGCGAAAGCGUGGGGAGCAAACAGG
rnacentral:rRNA from 1 species